GAUGAACGCUGGCGGCGUGCCUAAUACAUGCAAGUCGAGCGAACGGACGAGAAGCUUGCUUCUCUGAUGUUAGCGGCGGACGGGUGAGUAACACGUGGAUAACCUACCUAUAAGACUGGGAUAACUUCGGGAAACCGUAGCUAAUACCGGAUAAUAUUUUGAACCGCAUGGUUCAAAAGUGAAUGACGGUCUUGCUGUCACUUAUAGAUGGAUCCGCGUUGCAUUAGCUAGUUGGUAAGGUAACGGCUUACCAAGGCAACGAUGCAUAGCCGACCUGAGAGGAUGAUCAGCCACACUGGAACUGAGACACGGUCCAGACUCCUACGGGAGGCAGCAGUAGGGAAUCUUCCGCAAUGGGCGAAAGCCUGACGGAGCCACGCCGCGUGAGUGAUGAAGGUCUUCGGAUCGUAAAACUCUGUUAUUAGGGAAGAACAUAUGUGUAAGUAACUGUGCACAUCUUGACGGUACCUAAUCAGAAAGCCACGGCUAACUACGUG
rnacentral:rRNA from 1 species